GAUGAACGCUGGCGGCGUGCUUAACACAUGCAAGUCGAACGGGAAUUACUUUAUUGCAACUUCGGUCGAUUUAAUUUAAUUCUAGUGGCGGACGGGUGAGUAACGCGUGGGUAACCUGCCUUAUACAGGGGGAUAACAGUCAGAAAUGGCUGCUAAUACCGCAUAAGCGCACAGAGCUGCAUGGCUCGGUGUGAAAAACUCCGGUGGUAUAAGAUGGACCCGCGUUGGAUUAGCUUGUUGGUGGGGUAACGGCCCACCAAGGCGACGAUCCAUAGCCGGCCUGAGAGGGUGAACGGCCACAUUGGGACUGAGACACGGCCCAGACUCCUACGGGAGGCAGCAGUGGGGAAUAUUGCACAAUGGGGGAAACCCUGAUGCAGCGACGCCGCGUGAAGGAAGAAGUAUCUCGGUAUGUAAACUUCUAUCAGCAGGGAAGAUAGUGACGGUACCUGACUAAGAAGCCCCGGCUAACUACGUG
rnacentral:rRNA from 1 species